UCGGGAAUUUUGGGCAAUGGGCGAAAGCCUGACCCAGCAACGCCGCGUGAAGGAUGAAGUAUUUCGGUAUGUAAACUUCGUAAGAAUAGGAAGAAUAAAUGACGGUACUAUUUGUAAGGUCCGGCUAACUACGUGCCAGCAGCCGCGGUAAUACGUAGGGACCAAGCGUUGUUCGGAUUUACUGGGCGUAAAGGGCGCGUAGGCGGUUUGUCAAGUCAGUUGUGAAAUCUCCGAGCUUAACUCGGAACGGUCAACUGAUACUGUCAAACUAGAGUACAGAAGGGGCAAUCGGAAUUCUUGGUGUAGCGGUGAAAUGCGUAGAUAUCAAGAGGAACACCUGAGGCGAAGGCGGGUUGCUGGGCUGAUACUGACGCUGAAGCGCGAAAGCUAGGGUAGCAAACGGGAUUAGAUACCCAGUAGUCCCUGAGCGGGCUGGCAAGGCGCAU
rnacentral:rRNA from 1 species